rnacentral:lncRNA from 1 species
AAUAGACCGCCUACAAACACUAUGGAGCUUGUGUCCUGAUAGCGAACUAGCUUAAGGGAGAUAAAAGUUGGUAAUCAAUUCUUCCUUCAUCUCUUUGGUUCAUCACUCUGAAAGACUACUGAAAAGGUUUUGUGACCCUGUCCAACGUCAUACAAGAAUUGCCGGAGAAUAUAUGCUAGCAUGAGUGGAAACAGCGGAAACACU